GGAGCAUCGGCUCUAUCUGGAAUCGCGUAUUAGAUCGGGCGGCUGGGAAUGGAUCGAGAGGCGGAACCCUGCGUCCAAGUAUCCGACUGAUUUCGGCUUGGUGUCAAUUGAGGACUCGGUGAGAGGAGAGCUGAUUGAGGAGAUUGAAGAAUUGGAGCUUGUGAAGGAUGUGAAUGUAGAUGCAAGUCAUGUCAGGGGUUUGUUAACCGA
rnacentral:misc_RNA from 1 species